GAGUUCAUUUCCCUUUCAUUUUAACAGGGUUCUGGAACACGCCACAGAACUCUGAAUAGGAUCAUGGUGUCGCGUUCUGAGGUUGACAUGAAUGAGAUCAAAGGUUUUUACAGGCAAUUAUACGGCAAAUCCCUCUGCCAGGCAAUUUUGGAUGAAACGAAAGGUGAUUAUGAAACCAUUCUGGUGGCUUUGUGUGGUGGUGACAACUGAGCUCCACAUUCUUCAGAUACCUUCGGCCACUUUCUCAUGGAUAUCAGUCUGUUUCAACUCAAGCUGUUACAAGUACCUAUAUAGUAAAUAUCUGUAGAAAGAGAGUGAUCUCAGAUUUUAACUCUAUCUAGAAAGAUCUCUGUAUACUAAAAAUGUUUAGCCUGGAAAAAUACUUUUGUUGUUAGCAAUCUCUGUGCAUUACUUGCUUUUUUUUGUAUUUAUUAGGAGCCCAAAAAAAAAUACUGAGAACAGGUACUGUUUGCUUUUUCAGGCUUAAGUCAGUGUGAAAGGCACACAACCUGCCUAAACAGGUCUAAUAACAUUCCAAAUAAACUUAAGCUGUUGUGUA